UGCAGAUAAUGCAUUGUGUCUGCGUACAUGAAUCUAGACGCCUCCUGUACAACACCCCCUAACUGUCAAUUCUCGAAAGACAAACAUGUCGGAUCUUGUCUCAGUGGCUGCGAUCAAGGAUCUUCUGACUGAGUGUCCAAUAUGCACAGAACACUUUGAUGACUCAAUACGAAUUCCUCGUCGUAUGCCAUGCUGUGUCCAGU